ACAAGAAUAGCAUGUAUUGUUAUCUUUAUUGAAGUGAAUUAGGUUUAAAUCGCCUUCAUUCAUGAAUCAAUGAUAGUUUUGCAAUAUUACACAUAAUAAUCCACGAUAUCACAUUACACAAAACUGAAAUUGGACAUUUUUCCAUGUUCAAUUUAGC